CCUCAUCGUCGAAUCAUAAACACUAUGUAUCAUUAAAUUAUUAAUUUGUGGAGUAUUAAAUUAUUGAAAUUCUACUGAAUAUAAAUUAGUCACAGAAAUGUUCGAAUCAUACCUUCCAUGAAAAUGUUACCAAGAAAAUAAAGUGUGCCAUUACCCCUUAAAUAUUAUACUUUUGAAGAGUAUAAUAGUACCCUUAUUAGAUAUUCUCACCCCAAAAGAACCCAUUGAAAAUCCAAGAAUUGUCCAUGUUAGCUCAAUUAAGUUGAUAUUUUCUUAGGGCCGAGUCGAGAACAACCCAAGGAAAAGGGACUUUAGCUACCUGAAGAAUCUGUCAUCAACAUUAGAAAUUUAGUUCAUUAUGACAUGAAGGGUCGAAAAAACUCUAAAAAGAAAGAAGUGUAAUAUACAAGAUCACAAACAGUGACUAUUACCCAUCCAACUUACCAAUCGAUACCAGAUUGUGCUCUUAUUUUAGUCACAGAAGUUCCAACCACUUAGUAGAAGCAAGUGAACAACCGGAAAAGAUUACAAAUAUGCUGUUUUUGGCUAAGCUUACAAGCACACCUGUUAAGGUGCUUAUAAGCACGGCCAAACAUGCUCUAAAUCAAGAUGUACAGAAUUGCUUUUUCCAUUUUGACGAACGAUGACCAAGCAGACUACAAUCAGAGUUGAAGACUUACAUUUAAAAUAUUUCUGAGAAACCUACUGAAAGAUUUAAAAGAACAAACUCCAGCUGGUAGUAUUUUCAAACAGCUUUCUUCAUCUCCUGCUUCCAGCAGAAAAUGCAUCAAUCUGCUUCUUCAUGAUUCGUUUGGUAGGGCAAACCGUGCAGACAAUACUAUAAAAUAAAAUAAAAGUUGCAAUCUUGUGGUGGGUAUUAUGC
rnacentral:lncRNA from 1 species